AGUCAAUAGAUACCCAGGUAGUCCACGCCCUAAACGAUGUGCACUAGAUCGCGGGGGCGUCUGACGCCAUCGUGGUCGAAGAAAAAUUAGAUAAGUGCACCGCCUGGGGAGGUACGGUCGCAAGGCUAAAACUACAAAGGAAUUGACGGGGGCGUCACACAAGCGGUGGAGCAUGUGGCUCAAUUCGAAGCAACGCGAAGAACCUUAUCCUGGGCUUGACAUGCGCGGAUUAGUCCCGAGAAAUCGGGAUAACGCUCGCAAGAGUGGAACGCGCACAGGUGCUGCAUGGCUGUCGUCAGCUCGUGCUGUGAAGUGUCGGGUUAAGUCCCUUAACGAGCGAAACCCCGUAUCUCUAGUUGCUACUCCCGAUGCGUCGGGAAGGACUCUAGCGAGACUGCCGGUGUCAAACCCGGGAGGAAGGUGGGGAUGACGUCAAGUCCUCAUGGCCCUUAUGCCCCAGGGGCUGCACACGUGCUACAAUGGCGCGAACAAAGCGACGCGAGACCGCAAGGUGAGCAAAUCG
rnacentral:rRNA from 1 species